rnacentral:rRNA from 1 species
UACGACGGGGGCUAGCGUUGCUCGGAAUCACUGGGCGUAAAGCGCACGUAGGCGGCUUCUUAAGUCAGGGGUGAAAUCCUGGAGCUCAACUCCAGAACUGCCUUUGAUACUGGGAGGCUCGAGUCCGGGAGAGGUGAGUGGAACUGCGAGUGUAGAGGUGAAAUUCGUAGAUAUUCGCAAGAACACCAGUGGCGAAGGCGGCUCACUGGCCCGGUACUGACGCUGAGGUGCGAAAGCGUGGGGAGCAAACAGG